AGAGGAAAAAAAAAAAAGCCAUGGUCUCAAAAUUGAAGUAUCUCAUGGCACUUUUACUUGUUUAUGCUAUCUCAAUGAAUUUGGCAGGUUUUUAUGAUUGUUAGCAGGUGAUGCUUUGAAUUCCUCAAUGUUUUGACUUUGGCAAUUAUAGAUUCUUCUUUUGUGUAUUUGACCUUAUUAUUGUUAUAUUUAAAAUUGGAUGUGUAGUUAUAUGCUUAUCAAGUACAAACAGUUUGAGCCUUUUGUUGUUGUUCUAUUAAUUUCACUAGCAGCUGUGUACAUUAAUGUUGUAAUAUACCAUUGUUAAAAUCAUAAUUGACCCUUUAUUCUGGUUUAUGGAAGUCAAUAUGUUCAGCUUCCUGCUCCAUGUACUGAAUUAACUUGGAUGUCACCAUAUAAAAGUUCAUGUGUAAUUUGACAGUCAAAGAAACUUGUGAAAUCCCAUCAGAAUGACUGUACAACUUUAAGAUUAUGCUUGUUAAUUUUCAUCUCUGCAGUGUGUUUACUAAUUUACUUCUGUUUGUUUUUGCAGUUUGUGAUCCAAAGAGUCUGCUU
rnacentral:misc_RNA from 1 species